CCUACGGGUGGCUGCAGUCGAGAAUCAUUCACAAUGGGGGAAACCCUGAUGGUGCGACGCCGCGUGGGGGAAUGAAGGCCUUCGGAUUGUAAACCCCUGUCAUGUGGGAGCAAAUUAAAAAGAUAGUACCACAAGAGGAAGAGAUGGCUAACUCUGUGCCAGCAGCCGCGGUAAUACAGAGGUCUCAAGCGUUGUUCGGAAUCACUGGGCGUAAAGCGUGCGUAGGCUGUUUCGUAAGUCGUGUGUGAAAGGCGCGGGCUCAACCCGCGGACGGCACAUGAUACUGCGAGACUAGAGUAAGGGAGAGGGAACCGGAAUUCGCGGUGUAGCAGUGAAAUGCGUAGAUAUCGAGAGGAACACUCGUGGCGAAGGCGGGUUCCUGGACAUUAACUGACGCUGAGGCACGAAGGCCAGGGGAGCGAAAGGGAUUAGAUACCCGGGUAGUC
rnacentral:rRNA from 1 species